GUUGAUUUAUCUCUGCAGGUCAAUUGCUGAUUGGGAUACAAUACAUGGAUUUGUUCGGUUGCAUUUUUUAUACAUCGAAAGAGUCUGCUUCCCGGUUGCGAAGCUAUUCAUUGCGGAGGGGUGGAGCCCACCCGCGAUUUGGAUACGUUAGUUGUUUUUUCCGUCUGUCUUGUUCUUCUUCAUGCACAGGAAGCUGUGACUUGUUACUGUAUUAGAGCUGCAUUCCUCCGUAAGCUUAGUAAUAUACAUACUAUAUUUUGACGAUGGAUUGGUGCAUCCUCUUAUUUGUUUUGCAUUGUUGCGGUGCCUUGCCUGCAUGCCUGUUUUGGGCUUAAUUAUAUUGUGAUUACAUACACCAUCUAGAAUUUCUCGCACUGGAAUCUGAAAGAAACAAAUCAUGUCCCUCAACUAAAUUAGCGUAUUUGGGGAACCUGAGAUUAUGUAGAGGGAGUUGUGGAGAGUGAAGAUUCUUUUGCAAAUUGUGGUACCAUAUAUGGACUGGCUCACAUGUGGUGAUUAUAAAUGUUUUUGGGUAGUUGGGAAUUCACAUUGGUAUCUUUACCGGCCGAGACUUUGCUGGGCUCUCUAUAUAAAACCACACUUCAAAUGUGUUUCCUUCAGACUAUAAACAUAAUGAUGACAUUUAGAAGAUCCAUCUUGUGAAGUGAGUGAAACUUUUACUGAAUCAUCGGUUGUAGCUUAGGGCUGGGAGGCAUCAGGAGAGCAGUUAGCUCAUGGAUUGAGAAGGAAAGCAUAGGUUAGCUCAAGCUCACAGGAUUGUUCUGCGACAUCUGCAAUGCACCUAGGCAGCAUGGCAGAAAGUACGAACAUGUGUGCAUUAGCUUACUCUCCACUGCUCACCCACGGAAAGACGGACGUGCUGUUUAGCCCUUUUGUGGUGUGUAGACGACGCGAGCUGGUAUGUUUUGACGUGGAUGGUUCGUUCCUUCCAGGGGGCUUGCUCCUCCCGUACGCCAUACCGGUCUCUUUUCUCUACCAGUGAGAAAUGAGUCAUAUAUACUUCCCUUCGUUUCAUAAUAUAAUGUGUAUACAUUUUGUAAAAAGUCAAACUUUGUAAACUUUGACCAAGUUUAUAGAGAAAACUAUUUAUAUCUGCAAUAUCAAAUAUAUAAAAUCUGAAACUAUGUCUUACAAUGGAUCUAAUGAUAUAUGCUUGCCAUUCUAGAUGUAAAUGUAUUUCUCCACAAGCUUGGUCAAAGUUGGUGAGGUCUGACUUAAAAAAAAGAUCUAUAUGCACUACAUAUGGAACUUAAAAAAAAGAAGAUCUAUAUGCACUACAUAUGGAACGGAGGGAGUGCUUUAUAGGUUUAACACCAAUCACAUCAAACAUAUAUGACUAGAAUGCCGACACACAUCAUGCGACAUCACUCACGUUUUUUAUGAGUGAACCACUUAUUCUUCUUGUACCUACUAUCUCCACCUCUCUCCACCAAUCCAAGCUUGCCAACACAUCAAUGGUGCAUCUAACUUGCAAUCCUCCUCGGCACCUUAGAGCAAGGUUUAUGGUAGAGCCAAGUGUUGGCUAUAUCUUGUUGCUAUGUCAUCUAUAGCCAGCCUAAUAGCCAACAUGUACAAUAGUUAGUUGAAAAAAGUAUUAAUACUUUAGUAAUACAUGGCCACCUCACACUCUCAUGACGUUUCUUGGAGACCGUGUUGGAGCUGACUCUUAAUUUGCAACCCACUUCCCUUCUCUCUCCUCUUCUCUCAUCCAACUCAGUAAAAUAUAAUACUUUAAUUCGUAUAGCCCACUUACAUCACCUCGAUAUACUUGCUCUUAGUAUAUGACCACCCAAAAAUCAGUUACUAACCGCACAACAAUGCAUACAUAUCAACCUUAUUGAUUAGAAAGAUUCUUUUGAUCCCUUUUUGUAGUGACUAGUCAGCUGAACAUUUGGGAGUAGUAAUUUAAUGUCCGAACUUUUCAAUAUUUUUUAUUAGUUUCCAUUUAUUCCCUUUGCUCUCGCAUUAUCGUAAUGUCAAUGUUUGUGUUCUUCGACCACAACAAAGGUAACAUCCUUUGCAAUCACAGCAAAUCUAUAUACCUCAGAAAAUCAAACUAAAACAAAGAUCAAACCCCGGCUCCUCGUUUCUAAAAAAGAGAAAAUCAGUUACUAACCGCAUAUAUAUUAUGUAAUUCACUCUAAAUAAAUCAAAAUCACAUUACAAGUCAAAUGAAACUCGAAGGAACUGUCAAUAUCUUUGUCAAGCAGACCUCUAAUUCCAAGAUGGACAUUCAAUGUCUCCCUCCAUCUUGGUAGCUACAACAUGGUUUUUUCUCCAAAAAUAAAAGAGCAUAGCGAAGUGUUUUAGUAAACGCAAGGAGGCGACAAGACAUGAACUCACAUCACGACAUGACCAUGAACACUGCAGUCAGCCGAAAAAUAAUUUUCUUCAACCACAUCACGACAUGACCAUGAACACUGCAGUCAGCAGAAAAAUAAUUUUCUUCAACCUGGAUCUUGAUAGUACAUUUUCAGCUCCAUUAGUACAUCUAGCAGCUUCAUGUGUUCCCAGUUUCAGCUCAUGAUACUUCUUUUCUUCUAUGGUGACACAAAUCUGUCAAAAAAUCUUGGAAAAACAAAAAAGUUUAGAAAAAUAGUUCAUAAUAGCAAUGACACAAAACAAUUCAGAAAAGCAAGAAGGGGAUGAGGGAGGGGGGAGAAAGGAUGGAGGAGCCUGUCGGCCCAAGUCCGGCGGGCAGCAGCGGACCACUGGUUCGCAGCAAGCCUGCAGACCCGAUCGGUGGUAUUGAAUUUGGGGUGUUGAUUUUGCAGGUCAAUUGUUGAUUGGGAUAUAGUACAUGGAUUUGUUCGGUUGCAUUUUUUAUACAUGGAAAAGUCUGCUUCCCGGUUGUGAAGCUAUUCGUUGCGGAGGGGUGGAGCCCGCUCGCGAUUUGUACAUGUUAGUUGUUUUUUUGUCUGUCUUGUUCUUCAGGAAGUUGUGUCUUGUUACUGUAUUAGAUCUGCAUCUUUCUGUAAGCUUAGUAAUAUAUACAUACUAUUUUGAGGAUGGAUUGGUGCACCCUCUAUUUGUAUUGCAUUGCCGCGGUACCUUGUCUGCAUGACUGUUUUGGGCAUAAUUAUAUUGUGAUUACAUACACCAUCUAGAAUUUCUUGCACCGGAAACAAAGGGUUUUCCGCAGCUAAAUUACUAGUGUGUCAGGGGAACCUGAGAUUGUGUCUGAGGGAGUUGUGGAGAGUUAAGUUUUCUGGCGAAUUGUGAUACCAUAUAUGGACUGACUCAGAGGUGUGGUGGUUUAUCAUUUCUGAAAUGUUUUGGAGUAGUUGGGAAUUCACAUGGUAUCUUCAUCGAGGCUUCUUCACUGGUGGCUCUGUAUAUAUAGCCACACUUCAAAUGUGUUUCUUCAAAGAACAUAUAAACAUACGAGAGAAUUCCUUAUUUGGCCCUUGACUAAAAUCUGGUUUCCUUUUUGGCCCUAAAAAAAUUAUUUUUCCUUUUUUGACACAACAACUUCAUUUUCUUCCUUCUUUGACACUUCCGUUAGUUUUUGCCGUUAACACCGUCAACUGCAACUUGAAAAGUCAUUUUUACCCCUGUUGUAGGCCGCUGAAAAAAAACAGGAAAACAAAAUCCCGCUGACCAAACAGUCAACAGCGUAGCGAGCCCUUCCCUAUUCUCCCGAUUCCCCUUCUCCUCGAUCCCUAACCCUACACAGCGGCCGCGCGAGGCUGGAGGAGCGGAUGGAGGAGGGCGUGGCCGACGCUGCUCCGGGUGAAGGGAUGGACGGCGCUGUGGAGGAAGGCCACGGCGCUGCACCGGCCUCGUCCUCGGGCGACCAUGGCGGGCAGGAGAAGGGCGGCCAUGGCGGGAUGAAGGAGGACGGCCCAGGCGCGGCGCCAGAGGGCGACCAUGGAGGGGAGGUGGAGGGCGGGCAAGGUGCUGCGCCGGAGGGCGGUCAAGGUGCGGCGCCGAAGCAGGGCAAUGACGAUGGUGCGACUGCCACAGAUGCAAGUACUCCGGCAUGGCUUGAAGGGUAAGUGCCUCUCUUCUCUAGCAGAUUUGAGUAUUUGCUUCACCUCUGUUCAUAUAAAACAGUGUUCUUAGAGAUGGAUUGAAGAUGCAUCAGUGUACUUAGAGAUGGAUCUUUUGCUUUCACAGGAUGGAUCCAGACUCAACUUAUUUACUGAAAAUCAACUUGCUUGGCAACCCCAAAAAAGUUAGGAAGGACAUCAGAUGUCAAAAAGCUAGGAAGGAUAUCAAAUUGAAGAAGUGAUUUGAAUUAAUAAUCGUUAUGCAGACAAGCUAAAUAGCAUAUUAUGUUUCAUUCGGCACUAUAUUCCAAUUCGUAUUGCCAUUGCUUUUGACUUCCAGUUCACAAUUUUGGUCACAAAAUACAGCAGGGGUAAAGUGGACUUCUCAUGUGGUAUUUAACGGUGUUAGUUGUCAAAACUAGCAGAAGUGUCACAAAAGGAACAAAAUGAAGUUUGAGUGUCAAAAAGGGAAGAAUUUUUUUUAGGGCCAAAAAGGGAACCAAAUUUUAAGAGAGGGCCAAAUAAGGAAUUCUCUCUAAACAUAAUGAUGACAUUUAGAAGGACAUCCCUGCAUCUAUCUUGUGAAGUGAGUGUGAAAUUUUUACUGAAUCGUUGGUUGUAGCUAGCUUAGGGCUGAGAGGCAUCAGGAAAGCUGUUAGCUUAUGGAUUCGGAAAAAUAGUACGUACUGGUUAGCUCAAGCUCACAAGAUUGAUGCAGAAGUCCAACAUUGGUUAACUCAAGCUCACAAGAUUGUUAUGCGUCAGGAUACAACAUCUGCAAUGUACGUAGGCAGCAUGACGGAGCCUGUGACCAUCUCUGCAUUAGUUUAUGCUCCACUGCUCAGCCACAAAGAGACAAACGUGCAGUUUAGCUCACUUGUGGUGUGUACGCGACGCGGGCAUGUUUGUUUCGACACGCAGAGUGUGUUCAUCGCAGAGAGCUUGCUCCUCCCAUACGCCAUAUUACCAAGUAUCUUUUCUCUACUACUCCCUCCGUAAAUUAAUAUAAGAGCAUUUAGAUCACUACUUUAGUUAUCUAAACGCUCUUAUAUUAGUUUACAGAGGAAUACUAGUUAAUUUAUACGUGUGUUGUAAUGAGCUAUAUCUAUACUAUAGCUUUAACACCAAUCAUGCCAAACAUAUAGGCCAGCAUAGAAAAAAGUGCAUUUUUAGUCACCAACAAGAUGAAGGGCGGAUCGAAGGUCAAGAAGAGCUCAAGAGUUUUUUGCGGAAAAACUUCCUAUCUAUUCAUUAUCAAUCAUGACAGUACAACGAACAUAAAAAAUAAUGAAAAUUACAUCCAGAUCUGUAGACCAUCUAGCAAUGACUACAAACACUGAAGCGAGCCGAAGACGUGUCACCGGCAUCACCCCUUCAUCGCUAGAGCUGAGCAAAACUUGUUCUAGUAGACAGUCGGAAAGUUGGCGACUGUAGUUCCUUAUGGUCUUCAUGUAGGCUGAAGGCCUUUGAAGUAAACUCUUCCUGAUGUCAUUUUAAAAAAUAUGCAUCAUCUGUAUCGAACUGUUAUUGUAGGUUAAUGCAACUUUAGAUGUUAACUUGGUUCCUCCGGCAGCCUACCUUUCUAGGUGAAUCUCUGAAUGUGAUGAUCCUCUAUUUUCUUUUGGCUCCUCCUUGGUCAGGCUGGAGUAGUUAUAGUAUAGUAAAUAAUGUAUCCGUACGUAUUCUGAGCUACUGAUUUGUUGGCCCAUCUUAGUCAGAGACUUGUGAUUAAUCCUCUGUUUACCCAUUUAUCAUCUUAACCUUCAUCCAAAUUGUUCCCUGUUUGUGAUCUUUGUGGCAUUGAAUUUAACCCGUUGAUUUAUCUCUGCAGGUCAAUUGCUGAUUGGGAUACAAUACAUGGAUUUGUUCGGUUGCAUUUUUUAUACAUCGAAAGAGUCUGCUUCCCGGUUGCGAAGCUAUUCAUUUCGGAGGGGUGGAGCCCGCCCGCGAUUUGCAUACGUUAGUUGUUGUUCUUUCUGUCUGUCUUGUUCUUUUUCAUGCACAGGAAGCCGUGACUUGUUACUGUAUUAGAAGUGCAUUGGCCCGUAAGCUUAGUAAUAUAUACAUACUAUAUUUUGAGGAUGGAUUUGGUGCAUCCUGUGUGUUGUUUUGCACUGCUGCGGUACCUUGUCUGCAUGCCUGUUUUGGGCUUAAUUUUAUUGUGAUCACGUACACCAUCUAGAAUUUCUCGCACUGGAAUCUGAAAAAAACCAAGGUUUUUUUUAGGACAUCUCAAGCGGGGGCGAGGGUUUCUGCAUUUCAUUUAGAAGAAGAGAGAUGGUCCAGUUUAUAAGGAAAACCGGACCCAAAAACCUAACAUUUUCGGUUAAUUAAGGAAAACCAAGUGGAAACAAAAAAAAACAGAAAAAGAUACUAGAGCUUGGGCACAGGGGAAGGCACCGACAUCAAGAGACAUCGUCAGAGCAGACACAAAGGUGCCAAGGCCCAAAAUCAUUGGGCGUGGCUCAAGUGCAACCGAACAUAUCUUAUACCUAUCGAGCCCCAAAAUCAUUGAGUGUGGCUCAAGUGCAAUUGAACAUAUCUUAUACAUGUCGAGCCUUACUGCACGGAAGCAUCAUGGGCUAUCAUUAUCUUGUGGGAAACAUCCUGCAAGGCCCAACUUUCACUUUCCCGCAAUGCCCGCCAAAGUAUUCAAUGCCACUAUCACUUGCCGUGAAAAGGGGUUUCCCGCAACUAAAUUAGUGUAUUUGGGAAGCGUGAGAUUAUGUCUGAGGGAGUUGUGGAGAGCAAAGAUUUUACCCUUUUUCAUUGUGGAUUAUGGUACCAUAUAUGGACUGGCUCACAUGUGGUGAUUAUAAAUGUUUUGGGGUAGUUGUGAAUUCACAUUGGUAUCUUUACCGGCCGAGACUUUGCUGGUGGCUCUAUAUAUAACCACACUUCAAAUGUCUUUCCUUCCAAGGACAUAUAAGUACAACGAUGGCGUCUAGAAGUAAAUCCCUUACAUCUAUCUUGUGAAGUGAGUGAACUUUUUACUGAAUCAUUGGUUGUAGCUAGCUUAGGGCUGGGAGGCAUCAGGAAAGCCGUUAGCACAUUGAUUCAAAAAGAAAGCACUAGUUAGCCCAAGCUCACAAGAUUGUUCUGUGUUAGGAUAUAACAUCUGCAAUGCACACAGGCAGCAUGGCAAAGACUACGACCAUCUUCGCAUUAGCUUACGCUCCACUGGGUGACCCAUAGAAAGACGGACCUGCAGUUUAGCCCUAUUGUGAUGUGUAGACAACGUGAGCUGCUAUGUUUUGAUUCGCGGGGUACGUUCCUCAUAGGGGGCUUGCUCCUCCCAUACACCGUACCCUUCUCUUUUCUCUACUAGUUGUCUGUGCAUUGCAAUGUGCCAUAUAUAUUCUAUAGUUAACACUGAUCGUGUCAAACAUAUACGACUAGAAUGCCCAUGCACAUCAUGCGACAUCACUGACUUUAUUUUGAUGAGUGAAUCACUUAUUCUUCUUUUACCUACUAUCUCCACCUCUCUCCACCAAUCCAAGCUUGCCACCACAUCAAUGGUGCAUCGCACUCACAAUCAUCCUCCACACAUUAGAGCAAGGUUAAUGGUAGAGCCAAGUGUUGGCUAUAUCUUGUUGCCAUGUCAUCUAUAGCCAGCCUAAUAGCCACUAUGUAUAUUAGUUAGCUAAAAAAGUAUUAGUACUUCAGUAAUACAUGGCCACCUCACACUCUCAUGAUGUUUCUUGGAGCUCGUGUUGGACUGACUCUUAAUUUGCAGCCCGGUUCCCUUCUCUCUCAUCUUCUCUCUCAUCCAACUCAGAAAACAUAUAAUACUUUAAUUCGUAUGGCCCAUUUACAUCACCUUAAUAUACUUGCUCUUGGUAUAUGACCACCCAAAAAUCAGUUACUAACCGCACAACAAUGCAUACAUAUCAACCUUGUUGAUUAGAAAGAUUCUUUUGAUGUCUUUUUGUAGUGACCAGUCAGCUGAACAUUUGGGAGUAGUAAUUUAAUAUCCCAACUUUUCAAUAUUUUUUAUUAAUAUUCCGUUCACCCCCUUUGCUCUCACAUUGUCGUAAUGUCAAUGUUUGUGUUCUUCGACCACAACAAAGAUAGCAGUCUUUGCAAUCACAACUAUUUUGAGGAUAGAUUGGUGCAACCUCUAUUUGUAUUGCAUUGCUGCGGUACCUUGUC
rnacentral:lncRNA from 1 species